GCCCCUAUAGUUCAAUUUGGAUAGAAUAACUCCCUGCGGAGGAGUUGAUUUGGGUUCGAAUCCCAAUGGGGGCA
rnacentral:tRNA from 1 species